rnacentral:rRNA from 1 species
CAGCCGCCGCGGGAAUACGAGGGGGGCAAGCGUUGUUCGGAAUUAUUGGGCGUAAAGGGCGCGUAGGCGGUUUGGCAAGUUUGGUGUGAAAUCUUCGGGCUCAACUCGAAGUCUGCAUCGAAAACUGCCGGGCUUGAGUAUGGGAGAGGUGAGUGGAAUUUCCGGUGUAGCGGUGAAAUGCGUAGAUAUCGGAAGGAACACCUGUGGCGAAAGCGGCUCACUGGACCAUAACUGACGCUGAGGCGCGAAAGCUAGGGGAGCAAACAGGAUUAGAUACCCGCGUAGUCCCUGUCUCUUAUAC